rnacentral:rRNA from 1 species
GACGAACGCUGGCGGCGUGCUUAACACAUGCCAGUCGAACGGAAAGGCUCCAGCUUGCUGGCGUACUCGAGUGGCGAACGGGUGAGUAACACGUGGGUAAUCUGCCCUGCACUCUGGGAUAAGCCUGGGAAACUGGGUCUAAUACUGGAUAUGACCUUUCUCCUUAUGGGGUUUGGUGGAAAGUUUUUCGGUGUAGGAUGAGCCCGCGGCCUAUCAGCUUGUUGGUGGGGUGAUGGCCUACCAAGGCGACGACGGGUAGCCGGCCUGAGAGGGUGAUCGGCCACAUUGGGACUGAGAUACGGCCCAGACUCCUACGGGAGGCAGCAGUGGGGAAUAUUGCACAAUGGGCGGAAGCCUGAUGCAGCGACGCCGCGUGAGUGAUGACGGCCUUCGGGUUGUAAACCUCUUUCAGCAGGGACGAAGCGUAAGUGACGGUACCUGCAGAAGAAGCACCGGCUAACUACGUG